CCCAGAGGGAGCAGAACAAGCCCAUGGCAGCGGAUCUUUCGUGCUGAUGGGGCGAGAUACAGGAAGCUGUGGCCCAGGCCCUGCUGGUCUCAGAACAAAUAUGUGUAAAUAUAUUUGCUGAAAACCUAUGAGGAUCCCUGACCCUCGGUGGGGGUGUGUUCCCGUAGGGACUCAGCAUGUUCUGUGGGGUUCUUUGGUUCUCGUUUUCAGUUUCUUGCUAAAAUAGCACCCUCGUUGAGAGUCCUAGGUAAUAUGGUGUGAGGACGGUGGACAUGCAUGUCUGGAUGGAGAAGUGUCUGCUAGUUAAGCUUCCUUUUGGUCUGUGGAGUCCUGAGUCUUGGGGUGCGGGUGUUGGAAAGGGGCACAAGCUCCCUGGUUGCACUUGGAGAGCGGACACCUGGUAUGGAUGCCAGUUCACACCCUUUACAAAGCCCUUUGACUCAUAUCCUUAGUCCCUCCGGAAUCUGUGAGACCAGAGGGAGGGCCUGUUACUGUGGCUGCUGACGGGUCACGUGGUGCUUGGGAAUCCACCAACUGGCCCGUGGGUUUGGUUACUCCAUCCCUGGGAAGAGCACCUGGCUCCUUUGCUUUAGAUUUCUGGUCUCCUUCCUCCAUUUCUGCAUCUCACCUCCCUUUCUUCUCUCUUAUGCCCUCCUUCUCCCUCUCACCUUUCCCUUUUAUCCUUGAUUCAGAGCAGAGAUAACAAUAGCUCUACUUGUUCAUGUACAAAAAUAGCUCACUUGUCAGAGCUGCAUGGGGACCGGUGCCACAGAAACUCUGUGAGUGGAAGAACGGUUCAGAGCAUUGUCUUGGGGUUUAGCAUGCUUCGUGGCCAUAGUCAUCUCCAGCUCACACCCCAUCCCCGGGAGUUAGCGUGGCCAAAGAUGGUGUGCCCCAAAACCCAGCUCAGCCAUGUCCUAGAAAGACACUAUCUUCGGAUCAGCUGUAGCAGCAUCAAGUGCAUCUGGAACAUUUUCGUUCAUUCACUCCACCUCACUUGUCCCACCAGCCUGCAGCAUGGCUGUGGCAUCUGAACGUUUGCCAUAUGUUCAUUCAACUCCUCCUCUUCGUACCCACUGGUAGUAACCUUUCUGGAAUACAUUUUUCUGUUUGUGACUCAUCACCUUUCUCUUUCAAGACCAUGGAGUCAUCUUGGGUCUCAAUGACUUCUACUUUUCUCAGGCUGAGUAUCUUCAAGAUUUAGGGUCAGCCCCUCUCCAAACACCUGCAAAUGCAUUUAAAAAUGAGUCCGUUCCAGGGUACAGUUUUUCUUUUAUGAUACCAAAUUUAUUCAUAAUACAUUAUGCAGGUGUUUUGAUGAGAAUCCAGAAACAUCUUGAGACACCAUAUUUCUCUGAAAUGUGAGAAUUUAAGACCAUCGCUGUUCCAACAAGUCUUGUGUAUGGAGCUUUUUAUUGCAUUCAUUUGCAUUAUUUUGUUCACUUCUCAGGACUCUGUCAAUUAGCAACAGCUUGAUCUUGCAGAUGAGAAUGGAACACAGAGAAAACUCGAAGUCACACACUUGGAAGAUGGUGGAGCCAGGACUAGACUCAGUGUUCUCUAUACCAGAUCAUUAUGCCUUUCAGAAUCAAAGACAUUUCAGACAAUAACAUCAUUCCAAAUCAGACACAUGACAGGUUAGAGCUGGAAGGGACCCCUCUCUGUAUCUAACUCAACCCCCACCUUCCUAGACACUCGGUAGAUGUAUCGAAUUAGGAAAAAUGCAAAUUAUUUGACUGUAUACCUAUAAAUAUUAUCCCUGGAAAGAAAAGGAACAUUUGGUAAAUGUACAAAAAAUAUGGAAAGCAUUUGCAUGUUAUCCUCGUGUAAAGACCAUGUUAAUCUUAUCUGUAUUGUUCCAGUUUUAGUAUACAUGCUGCCAAGCAAUCUCCAGAAUAUUUUAAGAUGAAUAUACCGCAAUAGAAAAUACCAAAAUGUAUCACACAUAUGGUAAAGGUCAGUAUUGUUUGCUGAGACUUUCUGUUGGUUGCAUAUAUGUGUAGAUAUCCUGGGUCAUGAUAGAAAAUUCAUUUCAUACUGUGGAUUGUGCUAACGAAUGUUGAAGCCAGUGGUAUGGUAGAGAGAGCAUUGGAAAGUGGGUUCAAUGACUUGACUCCAGUCGUUGAUCUGCCAACAACCACCUGUGUGAGUUUGGCCAAGGAACUUGACCCAUCAGGCCUCUAUAUCCUUAGUUUUAAAAUAAGCAGGUCAAAAUAGAUGUUUUUUUGAGAUCCCUUUCUCUAAGAUUGUGUCAUCCUGGUGAUUCUCUCAUGGCAUUGGUGGAACACAAAAGCCUUUCAGAUGAGAAAGGUGGAUGGAGGGAGGUGUCAGAGCAGCAGGGCAAACACAAGCCAGGUGCAGGCGCAUGCCUUUACCCACAACAGCUGCUGCCCUGGUGCUCAUUCUCACUGUUUGUCGUCGUGCUGGUAGCACCCCAAGAUGCUGCUGCCAUGAGGGUGUGAGUGAUGACCAUGGUUAAAUCCAAGUUGGAGCCUGUGGACAGCAGUAGAGGUGAGGACUGCCAAGCACACACACCUGGUACCACUCUUGGCACUGCUAGGUGCUCAGAAGCAGUUCUCGAUGACAAGCAUGAUAAAUAUUCCAAGGAGGAAGCAAAGGAAAGGCAAUCUAAAUAGAAUAAGUUGAAACCCAGGAGCCAUAUUUCCUCUACAAUCUAUGCAGCCCUGGAGUAAUAAAGAUUUUCCUUAGGAAAAAAAAAAAGGAGGG
rnacentral:lncRNA from 12 species